rnacentral:rRNA from 1 species
UACGUAGGUGGCGAGCGUUGUCCGGAUUUACUGGGCGUAAAGCGCGCGCAGGCGGUUCGUUAAGUCUGGUGUGAAAGCUCCCGGCUCAACUGGGAGAGGUCAUCGGAUACUGGCGGACUCGAGGGAUGCAGAGGAAGGUGGAAUUCCCGGUGUAGUGGUGAAAUGCGUAGAGAUCGGGAGGAACACCAGUGGCGAAGGCGGCCUUCUGGGCAUUUCCUGACGCUGAGGCGCGAAAGCGUGGGGAGCGAACCGG